UGCACCUGCUUCCCAGAGUCCUUCCCACGAGCCGGUCAUUGUUCACGCAUCCUGAGUUCCAGCCUCAGGCUGGAAACAGACCUUUCCAGAGGAGGUUGGGAAGGAGCGCACCCAACCCUAGAGAGCUGGGAAUUCCGGCAAGAGGUGACAUGGAGUGGAGAAGCCUGGAGAUGCCACUGCACCCAGUGGUGAAGGUCACAAAGUCACCAGCACCGAGACACAGGGACACCACGCCCCUGCCACCGAGCAGUCAUGAAGACCCCAGUGCAUCGUGGGAAAACCGCACCCCCCCAAGCUGAGGAGCAUUCUGCAAAAUAGCAGCCAGCAGGUUUCAAACCAUUCAGGUCAUGAAGAAAACCGGGGAACCCUCCCAGAUUGGAGGCGGCAGCACAAGGACGUGCAGCAGGGACGUCAGACCAGAGACCGUCAGGAGCACCACAGUGCCCAUCAGACCAGAGGCUCAGGGGGACCACGGUGCCCAGCAAGCAUCCUGGUUUGGCCGAGGUGCACAGAGACCAUGUACUGUGCAACUGUUAGGCAAGUUUUAAAUUAUUUCAAAGUAAGCAGAGAACUGAACAUGGGAGAUUGUCGGUUUGGAUGGGGCCCGAGAAUGAGCAUAGCCAUCUGCCCAGCCCCUAGCAGUGAACACUCCAGGAACCCCUCCUCAGCUUGGGGGAGAUGGCCACAUCCAGGGGCUCACCCAAGGCUCCAAAGCAAAGCUUGAGAAAGUUUCCAGGGAUCCAUUUGUUUAUUUACAACAGCAUUCUAGGAGAAA